rnacentral:rRNA from 1 species
GAUGAACGCUGGCGGCGUGCCUAAUACAUGCAAGUCGAGCGAACAGAUAAGGAGCUUGCUCCUUUGACGUUAGCGGCGGACGGGUGAGUAACACGUGGGUAACCUACCUAUAAGACUGGGAUAACUUCGGGAAACCGGAGCUAAUACCGGAUAACAUUUGGAACCGCAUGGUUCUAAAGUGAAAGAUGGUUUUGCUAUCACUUAUAGAUGGACCCGCGCCGUAUUAGCUAGUUGGUAAGGUACGGCGUUACCUAACGGCGACGAUACGUAGCCGACCUCGAGAGGGUGAUCGGCCGACACUGGAACUGAGACACGGUCCGAGACUCCUACCGGGAGGGCGAGCAGUAGGGAAGUCUUCCGCCAAUGGGCGAAAGACCUGACGGAGCAACGCCGCGUGAGUGAUGAAGGGUUUCGGCUCGUAAAACUCUGUUAUUAGGGAAGAACAAAUGUGUAAGUAACUGUGCACGUCUUGACGGCACCUAAUCAGAAAGCCACGGCUAACUACGUGCCAGCAGCCGCGGUAA